rnacentral:misc_RNA from 1 species
AAGGAUCAUUACCAUUAUAGACCCACGGGGGAGGGCUUUCCGACAUUAAUUCCAGGACAGCCAGUGGAUGUACGGUUCCACUGGCUGGGGCGGAACACGAGGGAGAAUAUGCAAGCCGUUAGCUACUCGGAGCGCUGUUCAACCGCCGCCAUUCGAGCCCGAACCUGAACCCCACCCUUGCUUUUUGCGCACCCAUUGUUUCCUCGGCAGGCUUGCCUGCCAGCAGGACCCCAUCCAACCCUUUGUAGUUGCAGUCAGCGUCAGAAAACAACGUAAUCGUUACAACUUUCAACAACGGAUCUCUUGGUUCUG